CUCGCCUCCGCAUCUCCCUUCCCUUCCAAACCCCAUCUUCCCCCCAAACCCCACCGCGGCACCGCCGAUGCGGCAAUGCGACCACGAAGAACCUAGACACGCACCGCCAUGCGCUCCUCCGCGCUUCCUCUCCUCGUCCUCCUCUUUCCCCUCUUCGCCGUCAACCUCCCGUCCGCCGCGUCCAGCCCCGCCGCGUCCCAUCGCCGCAUCUCCUGGGCAAGCAACCUCACGCUCCUGGGCUCCGCCUCGAUCCUCCCUGGCGCGGCCGCCGUCGCGCUCACCACCAACUCCAGCGACGGCAUCGGCGCCGGCCGCGCCCUCUUCUCGGAGCCCGUCCGCCUCCUCCUCCCGCCACCCGACCCGCGCGCAGCCCCGGCGCAGGCCUCCUUCUCCACCCGCUUCACCUUCCACAUCACGCCGUCGCCGUCCUUCGGCGACGGCCUCGCGUUCGUCCUCACCUCCUCGUGCACCUUCCUCGGGGCCUCCAACGGAUUCCUAGGCCUCUUCCCGUCCUCCUCCGCCUCCGACGACGGCGACCUCGCCGACGUAUCCACCGUCGCCGUCGAGAUCGACACGCACCGCGACGCGGCCCUGCGCGACCCGGAUGGCAACCACGUCGCGCUUGACGCGGGCUCCAUCUUCUCCGUCGCGUCCGCGAGCCCUGGCGUCGACCUCAAGGCAGGCGUCCCCAUCACCGCGUGGGUCGAGUACCGCGCGCCGCGCCGCCGCCUCCGCGUUUGGCUCUCGUACUCGUCGUCCCGUCGGCCCGAGAAGGCCGCACUCUCCGUCGACGUCGACCUCUCCGGCCUCCUCCGCACGUUUAUGUACGCUGGCUUCUCGGCGUCCAACGGUGAAGGCUCUGCGCUUCAUAUCGUCGAGACCUGGACUUUUCGCACCUUUGGUUUCCCCAACUCCUCACAUGCUUCGCCACCGCCGAAUCAAGAGCCGCACAAGAACCCACUGCCGCUCUCAACAAAUCACCACCGCCACCGUGGACUACUCUACAAGGUGCUGGGCGGAGUUCUCGGUGGCGCGGUCUUACUGGUUCUUGUGGUCAUUGGCUCUAUUCUAUGGCUUGGCCAUACAAAGCGCCGCACAAGUGAAGAACCUACUGUGCUGAUCGAGGACAAGAACUUUCGUGGGAUGCUGUCCAUGGAGGUGAUACGUGCAGCAACCAAGGACUUCAGCAGUGAAAAUGUGAUUGGCAUUGGUGGCUCUGGCGCCAUUGUGUUUGAGGGGGUUCUCCCGUCUGGGUCAAGGGUUGCUGUCAAACGGUUUCAAGCUAUUUGGCCGUGCUCAAAGGCAUUUGAUAGUGAGCAUCAUGCCAUGCUUGAUUGCCCACAUCAUCCCAAUCUCGUGCCACUUUUUGGGUGGUCGAGCAGUGAGCAUGACCUUGUGCUUGUUUAUGAGUUCAUGCCCAAUGGCAAUCUUGACAAUGCACUACACAGCCUGGGUGGAGCAAUACUUCCCUGGGAGGCGCGGUUUGGGGCGGUGAUUGGUGUUGCAUCAGCGCUUACAUUUCUGCAUGAUGAAUGUGAGCAUCGCAUUCUGCAUCGUGAUGUGAAGUCGUCGAAUGUGCUGCUUGAUGCAGAUUUCAAAGCUCGGUUAGGUGAUUUUGGUCUUGCUCGCGUGGUGAGCCAUGGUGGGGUGCCACUGGCAACACAGCCAGCAGGCACACUGGGAUAUCUAGCACCAGAGUACGUUUAUUCAGGUGUGGCAACAGAGCGGUCUGAUGUUUACAGCUUUGGGGUGCUUGCUUUGGAGGUUGCCACUGGCCGGAGACCAACGGAGAAGGGAACCGCAGUUGUUGACUGGGUGUGGGCUCUCUGGGGUCGUCGGAGGCUGGUUGAUGCAGCUGAUCAGCGGCUUCAGGGACGAUUUGUUGCUGAGGAGAUGCGGCGGGUGCUGCUUGUGGGCCUCUGUUGUGUGCAUCCGGACUGUCGGAAACGACCUGGUAUGCGGAGGGUAGUCAGGAUGCUUGAUGGUACUGCACCCAUGACAUUGGUUCCAGAUAAGAAGCCACCAGUGGUACUGAAGUCAACACUAAAUCAAACUUCGUCAAUCAACACUGCAGAUACUAUGAAUACUGCAUUUUACAGUUGUCGCUAAACAUACAAUACAAGCGUAGACAACUGAUCAAACCUGAAAUUUGUUCCAUAGGACACUCUGUUACAAAGAGUGCUUUCCUGGGUAUACACUCUGUAUUCAGCGUAGAGCAUACCUCGCUUGUCAUGAGCUGGGAUCGAACCAGCGGUUUCGUCAAGUGUUAAUAUUACUCAAGUUGAACCAGUUAUGGAGUGAUACAACCGCAAGAAUGUGAUGUGGUGAUACAACCGCAAGGAACGACCUGAUGCAGCAUCAAAAGGGUAAAGAAGCUCGAAACGCUGACUUCAUCCAUGUUGGGUAAAUAGCUCUCUUACCACUCGUUUGAACUGAAGGCAUGCAACCAUGGCUGCGUCCCUGACUUCAGAAUGGUGAUGAUGUUGAGUUCCUGUCUUCAGAAUGGUGAUGAUGUUGAGUUCCUGGCUUCAGAAUGGUGAUGACGUUGAGUUUUCUUUUACUGGUUUCUGGACGAUUUUCAGAUAACCUUUUUCGUGAAACACCGUACUGUGAGUCUGCGAGCGGUUGAGGUUCAGUUAAAAUCAACUGGCUUUUCUAGUGAUGAAUAUUCAUGACA